rnacentral:rRNA from 1 species
UACGUAGGGGCAAGCGUUGUCCGGAUUUAUUGGGCGUAAAGGGCGCGUAGGCGGCCUGGCAAGUGGAAGGUGAAAUCCCUCGGCUUAACCGAGGAACUGCCCUCCAAACUGCUUGGCUUGAGUCCGGGAGAGGUGAGUGGAAUUCCCAGUGUAGCGGUGAAAUGCGUAGAUAUUGGGAGGAACACCAGUGGCGAAGGCGGACUCACUGGACCGGA